AUUUGAAAGCUGGCCUUCGGGUCCGCAUUGUAAUUUGUAGAGGAUGCUUUGGGGCAGCCGCCUGUCUAAGUUCCUUGGAACAGGACGUCAUAGAGGGUGAGAAUCCCGUAUGUGACAGGACAUGGCACCCUAUGUAAAGCUCCUUCGACGAGUCGAGUUGUUUGGGAAUGCAGCUCUAAAUGGGAGGUAAAUUUCUUCUAAAGCUAAAUACCGGCGAGAGACCGAUAGCGCACAAGUAGAGUGAUCGAAAGAUGAAAAGCACUUUGGAAAGAGAGUUAAAAAGCACGUGAAAUUGUUGAAAGGGAAGCGCUUGCAAUCAGACUUGUUUUGACUGUUCGGCCGGUCUUCUGACCGGUUUACUCAGUCUGGACAGGCCAGCAUCAGUUUUGGCGGCCGGAUAAAGGCUCAGGGAAUGUGGCUCUCACUUCGGUGGGAGUGUUAUAGCCCUGGGUGUAAUACGGCCAGCCGGGACUGAGGUCCGCGCUUCGGCUAGGAUGCUGGCGUAAUGGUUGUAAGCGACCCGUCUUGAAACACGGACCA
rnacentral:rRNA from 1 species